AUCUCCAUGACCUCUAUGGUUCCUUAGACUGCACUUUGAGAACUAUUGACGUACAGGGAAAAAUGCUCUUGGUGGUCCAGUUAAGCACAGAAUAAAAUCUGGACUGUGUCAGUUUGUAAAGAUCUUAUGUCUACUUGGUCAUCAGGCAAGAAGGGAUUCCGAAGAUAGAAGAGGAGGCAUCAACACCGUGAACAUCAUGGCUGAGUUAUUUUGUGAGAGGGAUAAGCCUAAAGUAAAAACCUUGGAUUUGCCUCUGUCCUUGAACAUGCUAUCUGGAAAGAGUUUUCUUAAAAGUAUUGUUGUGAACACAUCCAUUUUCCCAGUAUAGUUGAAUGCAGGGUUUAAUAAAUGGAAUGAAUCUAGUUUUAG
rnacentral:lncRNA from 10 species